CGCAUCGAUGAAGAACUUAGCGAAAUGCGAUACUUGGUGUGAAUUACAGAAUCCCAUGAGCCAUCGAGUCUUUGAAUGCAAGUUGCGCCCGAAGCCAUUAGGUCGAGGGCACGUCUGCCUGGGCGUCA
rnacentral:rRNA from 1 species